rnacentral:lncRNA from 1 species
UUUCUUUUAUUUUGUUCUUAACCAUUUUGUGUGAUAACUUGCAGAUGUUGGCCUUCAUUCAUGUUUCGUCGCAAGGUGCAGGACAAAGAAGUCAGGAGAAGCACAAAGUUCUUGAUCAUUGGAGCUAGUUAUUGUUUUGAUUUUUUAGUUGUGUUACCUGAUGUGAACUAGUUUUGAUUGUAAACCUGAUGUGAACCAUGUUUGAUUGAAAUGUGCCAAGUUUGGAUAUGUUUGAUUGUAUUCAUGAUGUGACAGAGGUUCGAGUUAUAAUGGUUGUUUGACAUAUUUUGUAAUUUCUGAUGUGUGGGACCAAUUUUGAGAUCAACAUGACAGGUGGGACCAGUACAAAAAUAAAAUGGCCAAAAAAGAAAA